GAGAAUUUAGCAGAGAUGCUUUAGUGCCUUCGGGAACUCUGAGACAGGUGCUGCAUGGCUGUCGUCAGCUCGUGUUGUGAAAUGUUGGGUUAAGUCCCGCAACGAGCGCAACCCUUAUCCUUUGUUGCCAGCACGUAAUGGUGGGAACUCAAAGGAGACUGCCGGUGAUAAACCGGAGGAAGGUGGGGAUGACGUCAAGUCAUCAUGGCCCUUACGAGUAGGGCUACACACGUGCUACAAUGGCGCAUACAAAGAGAAGCGACCUCGCGAGAGCAAGCGGACCUCAUAAAGUGCGUCGUAGUCCGGAUUGGAGUCUGCAACUCGACUCCAUGAAGUCGGAAUCGCUAGUAAUCGUAAAUCAGAAUGUUACGGUGAAUACGUUCCCGGGCCUUGUACACACCGCCCGUCACACCAUGGGAGUGGGUUGCAAAAGAAGUAGAUAACUUAACCUUCGGGAGGGCGUUUACCACUUUGUGAUUCAUGACUGGGGUGAAGUCGUAACAAGGUAAGCGUAGUGCU
rnacentral:rRNA from 1 species